GUCCUACGGGGGGCAGCAGUGGGGGAUAUUGCACAAUGGGGGAAACCCUGAUGCAGCGACGCCGCGUGUGGGAAGACGGUCCUCUGGAUUGUAAACCACUGUCCCCAGGGACGAAGAUGACGGUACCUGGGGAGGAAGCUCCGGCUAACUACGUGCCAGCAGCCGCGGUAAUACGUAGGGGGCGAGCGUUAUCCGGAUUCACUGGGUGUAAAGGGAGCGUAGACGGCCAUGCAAGCCAGGGGUGAAAGCCCGGGGCCCAACCCCGGGACUGCCCUUGGAACUGCAUGGCUGGAGUGCGGGAGGGG
rnacentral:rRNA from 1 species